CUGCAAGAGAAACACUUGCAGGAUUCCCCUGCUUCCAUUCUCCCAAAACCCUGGCUGGAGAUGAAGAAGCAGCGUACUUGAAGCAAGUUCUUGAUUCCAGCAUAAUUCCCACAGUGGCUGUCCAGGUGCCUCUGCUCUAUCUGUUUCCGGGAGUUAGUCCAAGAGGUUCAACCUAGAACUUGCUCCUUCCAUCCUUCCAGUGGUUCUCCAAACACCUCACUCCUGUGUUAAAUCACAACGUGCUGAA